AAAUGAUAUUACCCACCAUAAAUGAAGCUCUUUUGCAAAAAGAUGAUAACAUAGUUGUUCCUAAUCAGGAUUUACUAUGACAAUGUAAACAUUUAUCUAUUUUCACGUUUUAAAGAUCUACAAUAGAAAUUUUACCUCUAACUGAGGAUAUUAGUCAUCUAUGGCUGCCAUAAUAAAAUAUCACGGACUGGCUGACUUAAUCAGCAGAAAUUUAUUUCCUCACAGUCUGGAGGCUUGAGGUCUAAGCACUCCUUCUAGUUUGAAGAUAGCACAUUCUUGCUGAGUUGUCACAUGACCUCCCUUCAUGUGAGCGGAGGAAAUAGCUCUGGUGUCUCUCUUCCUCUUCUUAUAAGGACAGUGGUCCCAUUGGAUUAGGGCCCCACCCAAAUUACCUCACUUAACCUUAAAUACCUCCAUACAGAGUCUAUCUCCAAAUACAGAAACAGUGGGGGUUAGAGCUUCAAUACGUGCAUUUUGCAGGGUACAAUCCAGUUUAUAACACUGGCAUAAACCCACAGGCUCACUGGAGCUCUGGGUCUCUUGCUUCUGGCUAGCUUUAGAUCAACUCAGUGUAAGAGUCAUCUCUAUGUUCUGAUCAGAAGUUCUAAUUUGGAAUUUUUUAUAUUGAUAUUUAAACAUAUAUGAGAAAAAUGAAUGCUUGUUGCUCUAUAAAUGUGGUUUGGUGGACAAAUUAUUUCUAAACAUAAGGUCUUUGAAGAAAAAAUAAUUAAAGGAAUUCUUGGUGGUUAAAAGGGGUUGAGAGUCACUGGACAGUCUACUACCUGCCUGCAGAGGUAAAUUCAACCAGGGAGUCCCUUGAGAUGGCAUUCAGCGUUCAGAUCUGAGAGUCUGUGUCUGAGUGGGAAAAAACAGACUGUUUCUUCUCUGCUGUCAUACCACAACAAUCAACACAGAUGACUUCUGUGGCCAAAUGUGUGUGGGGUUCCUCUCACCCCUCUACACCAAGCAAGCCAUCAAUUCUGCAGGGGACAUCAGCUAGGUGUCCUCUGAUUCAAUUCAAUCUCAGCACGGUUGGUCUGGAGAUAGCGACAGACCCCAUAGGGUGAGGGCACUGCUGCAAGACUGCUCCCACUUCCAAUGCCAACUGCAAGCCCCAGGUUAUUUUGCAUGUGCUUUAGAUGCACUGGCUAUAAAUUGGGGUUCCUAUGACCCCCUUCUUGGAUUCAAUUAAUUUGCUAGAGUAGCUCACAGGACUCAGGAACACUUUACUUUGACUUACUGCUUUAUUAGAAAGGAUAUUACAAAGAACACAGAUGAAGACAGGCAUAAGGUGAGGUACGGGGUUAGAGGUAUGCAAGCUUCCAUGCCCUGUCCAAGGACAUCAGCCUCCAGGAAACUCCAUGUGUUCAGCUAUUUGGACACUUUCCAAACUCUUUAGUUUUUUGAGUUUUAUGGUGGCUUCAUUACCUAGGCAUGAUUGAUUAAACAAAUGCCCAUUGCCCAUUGGGGAUCAGUUUAACCUUCAGCCCUCUUCUAUCCCCAAAGUUUUGGGGGGAGUGGGGUGGAAAGCUCCAAUCCUCUAAUCUUGCCUUGGUCUUUUCUGUGACCAGUCCUAUCCUGAAGCUACCUGGAGGCAGCCAGUCAGUGAAUUCAAUAACAUGCUUUGGAGAUUCUAAGGAUUUUAGGAGUUUUAUGUCAGAAAAUGAGGUAGAAGAAAAUAUAUGUUUUGCAAUAACAACCUAUGAAUUGAGUUGUACUUAUGAUACAAUUAUAUGUGAAGAAUUAUAUGGAAUAGAGAACCCAUUGAAAUAUAACAAAGUAGUUCUCCAUCCACAUUUUUAUUGCUACCAGAUUUACAAAGAAUAAUACAAGUCCCAAGCCUGGCUGUAUAUUUGAAGAAGACCGGUUGUCUGGAUGCUCACCAAUCCCAUUUCCUCUUCUGGGGCAGCCAGGGAGACUCCAUUUCCCAGGCUUCUUCAGGCAGGGCUAUGUGACUAAGUCCUAGCCAAUUGGAAGUGGAUGGAAAUGAUGUACAGCAGUUCUAGGACUGGCUGUAAAAAAACUGUGUUUUUUUUUUUUUUUCAUAAUCUUUCUUCUCCUUCAGUAGCAACAAUGGAGGCCAUGUAUUGAAAUCAUUCUACAUGAAUAACCUGAGUUUCAUAGUUAUCACCUGAAAGAAGCAUUCAGAAAAACUCUUUGAUUUUGGGGGGAGCAAGAAAUAAACUUUAUUGCGAAUCCACUGAAAUUUUGGGGUUGUUUGAUGCAAUAGAUAACAUUAAUUGUCUUUAUUAAAAUAAUACUAAGAAAAAAAUUUUAAGAAUUUUUGACAGCAACCUGUUUUAUCUAUUGAAAGAUACAUACUGUUUAAGAAAUACUGUUCAAAAAUACAGAAUUUCCUUUUGCCUAAUCAUCAAAUGAAUGCUGUUGCUGUCAUGGGAUCACUUUUAUCUCCCUCAGCAAGAUUCUGGUCAGAAUCUUUCUAAAUUGACUAUUGGUUAAUAUUUUCCUCUAGGCACACCCACAAAUCACAACAGGGCUUCAGGCUUCAACCUAUUCCAUCUUUGAUACUAUCAAAUGCUGGGAAAAUUGAUUUAAAGGCCCUGAUUAGAUGUCACCUAUAUUUUCCCCUUUCCCCUAAAAUACAGCCUGCUGAAAACUCUAUAUCUUCUGAAUUCCAUUUGUCUGUGAAAAACAUCGUGUAGCUCAGGUUGUGCCUGAUGUACCUAUCCUAUGAAUUUGCAGUGGCUGCUGAGGGCACUGUGUUGUGAAGGAUUCAGAGGUGGUGACUGAGUUUAUUAGAAUUCUCUUUGUCUGUCAAAGGCCAGAGAGUGGGGACAGGCUUGUGUAUCACAUCAUUGCCAUUGCUGGCUAACCCUGCAUUUCAGAAUAUUAAAUGCAGUGUCUACCUCGGUUAGCGUCCAGUCCUGUUAAAAAUGGUGAAACCCAUCUAAGGCCGUACCCUUGAUCCAAUAACUACUGUUCUAUUGUGCAGCAGUUUGUUGCUAUUUUUGGAGCUGUGUUAAUUUAGGUGAGACUUACAUUAAUUGUUGGACUCAUCUCCAAUCACCAUUGAAGAUGACAUUGUGUAGUAUCUGCUGUAUAGGGUUUAGAGAUCACGAACAUGCUAACAGAUUCUGUGCCUUCUAUUAGAAUGCCAAAGGUGAUGGUAGGUUUUAGUAAGUGAGCAUUAUCAUAGACUAUUGAUGGGGGUGUACAUUGCCAUACAUUUUCUGUAGUACGAUCUAGUUAUGUGUACCAAAAUGUAAAAUAUAUCUACAUUUUGACUUAGUAACGGUGCUUUUCGGACUUUAUCCUAAAAAUAGAAGUAAACGUUUACAUAUAAGGAUAUCAAUUACAGCCUUGUUUUUAGUAUCAAUAUUCAUCAUUAAAGGACUGGUAGAAUAAGUUAUAAUAUAUUCAUGUGAUGGAACCGUAUGGAGCCUUUUAAUUCGAUAAGGCCAACCAAUAUGGCAUGAAAAGCUAUUCUUGAUACAAUGUAAAAUAAAGAAUUCAGGCUGUAGAACAAUUUGCACAGUAUUAGUUUGUCUAACGUGCAGCUCAUAGAGAAGUGCAUAUUAUUCUAUCUAGUGUAUUUAUAAAAGACUUUUAUGAUAAAAUAUCAUAGACAGCAAAUGCUGGAAGUACAUAUUCCACAUGUUAAAAAGAGACUCCAUCUGGAUACAAGCUGUACACGACCGAAGGCAGAAGACCCGUGGCCCAUGGAGCAAAUCUUCGAACUGUCUCCGUCCACCUCCCGCCUUGAUUUGUGACCCUAGACCCUUUGGGACUCAUCUGACCCAGCUAGCCACAUCCCGGACCCAAACCACGUUCCCUGUGAAGGUGGAGAAGCCAGAGCUGGAGAUGGCCAAAGCCCGGAACCAACUGGACGCCGUCCUGCAGUGUCUGCUGGAGAAGAGUCACAUGGUCAGGGAGCGUCUGGAUGAGGAAGCUGGGAAAACCCCCUCAGGCACCCACAAUAAGGACCGCUCCAUCGCAGCCACUGGCAAAAGGCCUUCUGCCCGCUUCCCGCACUGGCGGAGGAAGAAGAGGGGAAUGGAUGACGGGCUGGCUGAGGGAGGGCCGCAGCGAUCCAGCACCUGUGUGAUCAAGCUGUCGGACCGGAGCGUGGACUUGGCCCAGUUCAUUGAGAACACGCCGCUCUACCCGGUCUGCAGUGCCUGGAUGUGAAACAGCGAGCGUGAAUGCUCUCCCAGCUCACCCCUGCCCUCGCUGCCUGAGGAUGAGGAGGGUUCAGAGGUCACCAACAGCAAGAAUCGGGAUGUGUACAAGCUGCCGCCACCCACAGCGCUCGGGUCACCCAGAGAUGCCUGCAGAUUCCGCAUCCCAUCUCCGCUGCAGCCUGAGAUGCCGGGCACCCCGGAUGGCGAGGUAGAGCCUGAGCCCUCCACACUGAUCUAUCGCAACAAGCAGCGCUGGAAAUGCAUCAGCCACAGGUGGAAGGAGGCCUCUCAUUGGAACCAGCUUCGUUAUUCAGAAAGCCUGAAGUUCCUACGGGAGAUGUAUGAGCGACAGUGAUGUUCCCAGCUCCUGCCCUCCCACCCCAGUAAACGUCUCCCAACUCCACAAAAUAAAUAAAUAAAUAAAUAA